CCUACGGGAGGCAGCAGUGGGGAAUAUUGCGCAAUGGGCGAAAGCCUGACGCAGCGACGCCGCGUGAGGGAUGAAGGUCUUCGGAUCGUAAACCUCUGUCAGCAGGGAAGAACGGUCACUGUGCUAAUCAGCAGUGAAUUGACGGUACCUGCAAAGGAAGCACCGGCUAACUCCGUGCCAGCAGCCGCGGUAAUACGGAGGGUGCGAGCGUUAAUCGGAAUUACUGGGCGUAAAGCGCUCGUCGGCGGUAUGUCAAGUCAAGGGGGAAAUCCCCGCGCUCAACGUGGGAACUGCCUUUGAAACUGACAAACUGGAGUGUGUGAGAGGAUAGUGGAAUUCCAGGUGUAGGAGUGAAAUCCGUAGAUAUCUGGAGGAACAUCAGUGGCGAAGGCGACUAUCUGGCACAUAACUGACGCUGAGGAGCGAAAGCGUGGGUAGCAAACAGGAUUAGAUACCCGAGUAGUC
rnacentral:rRNA from 1 species